rnacentral:tRNA from 4 species
AGGGUUCGAAUCCCUCUCU